AAACCAUCGGGGUCACAGGAUUCUGGGCCCCGGAGUAUGAGUUGUACCGGGUGAUUGGAAACAAUCAGAGGUUGACUUGAAAUGGAUGUCCGAGUUGGGUGAAUUGGAGCCAAUUGAAAGAAUGGUUCGUGUGAGCUCUGCAACCUCGGACUGGGUUGGGCGGUUGCCACGGUGGUUACCGCUGCCCCAACCUAAACCCA
rnacentral:misc_RNA from 1 species